rnacentral:rRNA from 1 species
GACGAACGCUGGCGGCGUGCUUAACACAUGCAAGUCGAACGGAAAGGCCCUGCUUUUGUGGGUUGCUCGGGUGGCGAACGGGUGAGUAACACGUGAGUAACCUGCCCUUGAUUUUGGGAUAACUUCAGGAAACUAGGGCUAAUACCGGCUAGGAGCUCCUGCUGCCUGGUGGGGGUUGGAAAGUUUCGGCGGUUGGGGAUGGACUCGCGGCUUAUCAGCUUGUUGGUGGGGUAGUGGCUUACCAAGGCUUUGACGGGUCGCCGGCCUGAGAGGGUGACCGGCCACAUUGGGACUGAGAUACGGCCCAGACUCCUACGGGAGGCAGCAGUGGGGAAUAUUGCACAAUGGGCGGAAGCCUGAUGCAGCAACGCCGCGUGCGGGAUGACGGCCUUCGGGUUGUAAACCGCUUUCGCCUGUGACGAAGCGUGAGUGACGGUAAUGGGUAAAGAAGCACCGGCUAACUACGUG